CAUAUAUGAAGAUCAAACAAUGUUCACUUGUAAGACAUGUUAUUUUUGUUUUGUAAUCAUGAAAAUAAAGGAACCUUGCCAUAUUAAAGAACAUUCACUUUUGAGAUUAAAAAUUCUUGAAUGUCAAAGAAGAGGAGCAGAUUAGGCAUGCCAAGUUUUUUUGUCAGGUUAUGAUGAAGACAUUGACAUCAAGAAAAGAAGAAGGUGAGAAGUGUUUGU